CCUACGGGAGGCAGCAGUGAGGAAUAUUGGUCAAUGGCCAGAAGGCUGAACCAGCGAAGCCGCGUGAAGGACGAAGGUGCCAAGCAUUGUAAACUUCUUUUGUCAAGGGACAAUAUCAGGCGCGAGAGCCUGACCGAGGGUACUUGAAGAAAAAGCAUCGGCUAACUCCGUGCCAGCAGCCGCGGGAAUAAGGAGGAGGCGAGCGUUAUACGGAUUGAUUGGGUUUAAAGGGUGAGUAGGCGGGCUGGUAAGGCAGCGGUAAAAGCCCGGGGUUCAACCCCGGCUGGCCGUUGAAACUGGGUGUCUUGAGAUGUCGAGAGGUAUGCGGAAUUCGGAGUGUAGCGGUGAAAUGCGUAGAUAUUGCGCAGAACUCCGAUUGCGAAGGCAGCAUACCGGCGGCGAUCUGACGCUGAGGCACGAAAGCGUGGGUAUCGAACAGGAUUAGAUACCCCUGUAGUC
rnacentral:rRNA from 1 species